rnacentral:rRNA from 1 species
UACGUAGGGUGCAAGCGUUGUCCGGAAUUAUUGGGCGUAAAGAGCUCGUAGGCGGUCUAUCGCGUCGGCUGUGAAAACUUGGGGCUCAACCCCAAGCCUGCAGUCGAUACGGGCAGACUAGAGUGCGGUAGGGGAGACUGGAAUUCCUGGUGUAGCGGUGAAAUGCGCAGAUAUCAGGAGGAACACCGAUGGCGAAGGCAGGUCUCUGGGCAUUAACUGACUGAGGAGCGAA